CCAAAAACAUAGCCCCCAUAAUUAUUGAAGGUGUCGCCUGCCCAAUGGAUUAACCCCUAAAGAUAAAAAAAACUUUUACAAAAAACCAAAUGGCUGCAGUAACCAUAACUGUAACAAUGUAGCACAAUCAAUCGUCACUUAAUUAGUGAAUAGUAUGAAUGGCUAAACGAAAAUCUCACUGUCUCAUAGUAUAACCAAAAAAAAUUAAAAUAACAGUUAAGAUGCUGUUUAAAAUUGUAAGACGAGAAGACCCUAUAAAGCUUAACUAUUAAUCUUAAAUAAAAUUUUAAGAAAAGAUAGUUUCAUUGGGGCGAUGGUUUUUAAAAUAAAACAAAAAUACAACAAAAAUAAUUUAAAAUAUUUACUGUACAACCCAUCAGUUUAACAGUUACAAAGUAGGUUAAAUACGACCCAUUAACUUCAAGAAAAAAGUUAAUGAUUAAUAAAUAAAAGCUACUUUAGGGAUAACAGAAUAAUUUUAUUCAAAAGUCCAAAUUUAAAAUAAAGUUUAUUACCUCGAUGUUGAAUUGAGAUAUCCCAGGGGUGCAAAAGCUCCUAAAGGUAGGUC
rnacentral:rRNA from 1 species